rnacentral:sRNA from 1 species
CAUGCGGGUGUCGGCGCGUGCCUCUGA